rnacentral:rRNA from 1 species
AUUGAACGCUGGCGGAAUGCUUUACACAUGCAAGUCGAGCGGCAGCACGGGGGCAACCCUGGUGGCGAGCGGCGAACGGGUGAGUAAUACAUCGGAACAUGCCCAGUCGUGGGGGAUAACACUUCGAAAGAAGUGCUAAUACCGCAUACGUCCUGAGGGGGAAAGCGGGGGAUCGCAAGACCUCGCGCGAUUGGAGUGGCCGAUGUCAGAUUAGCUAGUUGGUGGGGUAAAGGCCUACCAAGGCAACGAUCUGUAGCUGGUCUGAGAGGAUGAUCAGCCACACUGGGACUGAGGCACGGCCCAGACUCCUACGGGAGGCAGCAGUGGGGAAUUUUGGACAAUGGGGGCAACCCCGAUCCAGCCAUUCCGCGUGAGUGAAGAAGGCCUUCGGGUUGUAAAGCUCUUUCGGCAGGAACGAAACGGUGGGCUCUAACAUAGCUUGCUAAUGACGGUACCUGAAGAAGAAGCACCGGCUAACUACGUG